rnacentral:rRNA from 1 species
UCGCCUGCAUGAAGCUGGAAUUGCUAGUAAUCGUGGAUCAGCAUGCCACGGUGAAUACGUUCCCGGGCCUUGUACACACCGCCCGUCACACCAUGGGAGCCGGUAAUACCCGAAGUCAGUAGUCCAACCACGUGAGGACGCUGCCGAAGGUAGGAUUGGCGACUGGGGUGAAGUCGUAACAAGGUAAC